rnacentral:rRNA from 1 species
UUGGCUUCGGCCGAGCAAGUAGAGUGGCGAACGGGUGAGUAACACGUGGAUAACCUGCCCUGCGGUGGGGAAUAACCCCGGGAAACUGGGGCUAAUACCGCAUACGAUCCAUUUGGCUUAAGUUGGAUGGAUGAAAGCCUUCGGGCGCAGCAGGAGGGGUCCGCGGCCGAUUAGCUUGUUGGUGAGGUAAAAGCUCACCAAGGCAGAGAUCGGUAGCCGGCCUGAGAGGGCGCACGGCCACACUGGCACUGAGACACGGGCCAGACUCCUACGGGAGGCAGCAGUGGGGAAUCUUGGACAAUGGGGGAAACCCUGAUCCAGCGACGCCGCGUGACUGAUGAAGCCCCUCGGGGCGUAAAAGUCUUUCAGCGGGGAAAAUAAUGAUGGUACCCGCAGAAGCAGCUGCGGCUAACUACGUGCCAGCAGCCGCGGUAAUACGUAGGCAGCUAGCGUUGUUCGGAAUUACUGGGCGUAAAGCGAGUGUAGGCGGUUUGCCAAGUCCGUUGUGAAAUCUCCCGGCUCAACUGGGAGGGUGCGGCGGAAACUGGCAGGCUAGAGUGCGGAAUGGGAGAGUGGAAUUCCUGGUGUAGCGGUGAAAUGCGUAGAUAUCAGGAGGAACACCGGUGGUGAAGACGGCUCUCUGGACCGCCACUGACGCUGAGACUCGAAAGCGUGGGGAGCAAACAGGAUUAGAUACCCU